UCAUUCAAGGGAUGGUCGGAGUGCAGAUGAACAGUUGUUCACACUGACGCAGGGGAGGAGAACGGCUGCGGAAUAUGCUUUGUCUUUUCGUACGCUCGCCGCACAAACAACAUGGACCGAGGAUCCUCUGAAGGUACACUUCAGGAGAGGUUUAAGUCCCGAAUUACAGACGGAACUAGCAUGCCGAGAUGAGGGGAGAACUUUAAAUCAGUUUAUGGAGCUCUCUAUUCAGAUUGACAAUCUUCUCAGAUCACGACGCCCCUCAACAAGAACAACUACUAGGACUGUUUCUGACACCCACGAACCCAUGCAGGUCGACACCUAUCACCUCUCGCCUGAGGAGAGAGAUCGUCGCAUUAAUCACCGUCUCUCCCUCUAUUGUGGUGAGCCAGGCCACAUGAGACUGUCUUGCCCCUCUCGCUCUCGCAGAGACCCCACUACUCGGUUGAGGCGGUCGACGGACGACCACUGGGCACAGGAAA